rnacentral:rRNA from 1 species
UACGGGGGGGCAAGCGUUGUUCGGAAUUACUGGGCGUAAAGGGUUCGUAGGUGGCCAACUAAGUCAGACGUGAAAUCCCUCAGCUUAACUGGGAACUGCGUCUGAUACUGGAUGGCUUGAGUGCAGGAGAGGAACGCGGAAUUCCAGGUGUAGCGGUGAAAUGACGUAGAUAUCUGGAGGAACACCGGUGGCGAAGGCGGCGUUCUGGACUGCAACUGACACUGAGGAACGAAAGCCAGGGAGCAAACGGG